AUUUAUGGCGGCUUCGCGUGGGGCACCUUCGGGUGCGCCGGUCUUUCUCAUGAUCUCCCGGUCUGCUAACCCGCGUCGAAGCCGCCACCCUU
rnacentral:antisense_RNA from 1 species